rnacentral:rRNA from 1 species
UACUACGGCCAUGUCACCCUGAACAAGCCCGAUCCCGUCUGAUCUCGGAAGCUAAGCAAGAUUAGUACUUGGAUAGGAGACCUCCUAGGAAGACCAGGUACUGUAGGUG